ensembl:snRNA U6 U6 spliceosomal RNA
GUGCUUGCUUUGGCAGCACAUAUACUAAAAUUAGAAUGAUACAGAGAUUAACAUGGCCCCUGCGCAAGGAUGACAUGCAGAUUCAUGAAGCGUUCCAUAUUUUU